CGUCUGGGAAAUUUCCUGAUUGUUGGACUGAGGGCCUAAAUCGGGAAGCUCCUCAGAUCCCAGUAACUAUCGAGGUAUCUGUGUUUCAAGCUGUAUGGGCAAAUUACUUUGUUUAAUUUUAAAUGCCAGACUAAUGAAUUUUGCCAGAGAAAAAAAAAUAUAAUUCAUCCAACUCAAAUAGGAUUUAUUCCCGGAAAUAGAACGGCAAAUCAACUUCUCAUUCUGACAAAUAUGUUAAACAGAGUGAGAGUGUCUUUACAUGACAAAUAUGUUAAACAGAGUGAGAAUGGAAAGAUCUACGCAUGUUCUGUUGAUUUUUAAAAAGCGUUUAAUUUAAUUCCGUCUGGCAUCAAGGCUUAUAUUCCAAACUACUUGAAAAUAAAAUAGG